UAUUACAUAUGUAUAGCACUUUAAAUAAAAUCCUGGGGAACUCCCUGCUCAUGGAAUAGAAAGCAUGUGUGAAAGCAUGACACAAGUUGAACUACACAAACUUUGUGUCAUUUUAAAGUCUCCCCCACUCUAAAAAUGCUCUUAACUUCAGUAACCUUACAGAAAACCCUUAGUCAAUGGAAGUUUUAUUGCUAGAUUGGUGGCUCAAGUUGUAAUGGUGGAUAAUGUCAGAAUGUGAAUGCUUGUGUAACAUUGGUAGACGGUUUGUGUUGGGACAAAUAAAGCAGGGGAGAUGCCAUGUGGCUUAAGAGCUGUGACUACUGGAGCAAUGAAGGACUUGGCAGACACUGUGAAAGUUGAUCAAGACUGGUAUCGAUUCUUCGAGAGGCCCGGUGCUGAUAUACUCGCAAGAAGCAGUCGUGUUUGGGGCAGCUUUCUACACCUCUGUGCCGGCAGAUUUGAAGGAUUGGAAGUUGGUUCAGUGUGGAGAGAGAUGGACACGGUGUAUUGUUUGGUAACACUUGCCCUUAUAUGUUACAGUAAACCCUUGAACAAUGAAUGCUAGAUUGGUGCCCAAAGCUCUGAUGGUGGAUAAUUUCGAAAUGUGGAUGGUUGUGUAACAUUUGUGAAAGGUAGCAGACGACAAUAAAUUUUAAAGUGGCAAUUUGCGACUUCCGGUGUGUCUGCUACUCGAUGUUGUGAUCUUAGUUACUUCCCCUGACGUUCAGUAUAUGAAAUGAGGGUCGAGUUUCAAGAUUUGAAAUUAGGAAAGAACGAAAUAUAUGAAAUGAGCACUGGCAAACUGAUCUUGGCAUGUUACAUCCUUAUCACAGAACUGGAACCUACUGAUUAAGAUGAGAAAUACGGAACAUGGUAAAUUGAGCAGGUGAAGGAAUGAAGAAAACACCACCCUCUUUACAGUCAGCAAAAUAACAAUUUUUACGGUUUGGAACUACUGCAUGCCGUUACAACAUAUGUGACAAAAACAUUUCAAUCCACCUGAUACGAUGUGGUAUCUUUCUGAAAGUGUCAUGUUCAACUUUUGAAUGGUGUUUUUUUCUGCCAAGUUUAAGAAAUUAUCAAUAUAUUACCAUGUAACUGUCUAAUAUUUAUGGCAGUUAUGAAGCAAUGAGUUUUUGCCGUAGUAAUAAAAACCAUAAAGGGUGUUAGCUCGAUUGGAUUUUCUACAUGAGCUUGAAAAAAGAACACCUUUAUUAAUGCCGUGAUGUAAACAGAAUAGAAGGGAUAUUUAAUUUGCUUUUUACAUUGUACCAACACACUGUACCGUUAAUGUGUUGUAAUGGCAAUAAUGAGUAUAACUGAAAUAAUGAAUAAUGCACUUUUUUUGCAAUGAAUAUUUCAAGUGGUGUAAUAAGUAAAAUUUGAUCAGGAAUGUACAUUUAUUAAGACUAUAUAUAUGCAAACAUACUGUACAGUUAACAUAAUAGCAAUUUUCAGAAAUGAAUGAUGACAUUUUUUACAAUGUAUAUUUCAAGAAGUGUAAUAAGUAACAUAAAGACAUACUAGGCCGUACAAUGAGAAAUAAUGAUAAUUUAACAACGUCAUGAUAGAAACAUCCAUUUGAAAUUUCUUAAGAUUUAGAUAAUAACACCAAGAAUAUCACCACUACCACCAAAAACAACAUUUAUGACACAUAAUGAAAACACCAACAAUGAAAUACAUGUAGUUCAUCAUGCAAAAACAUGCAAUGAUGAAAAAAUGAAAUAAAAUAUUAAAAUAACUGUAAUAACGACCAGAAGAACAAUAAUGAAAUAAAAGAAUGAAAUAACAAUAUGAAUGAAAUAAAAUAAAACAACAAAAUGAAAUGAAAUAAACAGUAAUGAAAUAAAAUGAAAAAAAA